rnacentral:rRNA from 1 species
AUUGAACGCUGGCGGCAGGCCUAACACAUGCAAGUCGAGCGAGCGGCGGACGGGUGAGUACUGUCUGGGAACCUGCCUGUUGGAGGGGGAUAACUACUGGAAACGGUAGCUAAUACCGCAUUCCAUCCGCUUUGCCCAGGUGGGAUUAGCUAGUGGGUGGGGUAACGGCUCACCUAGGCGACGAUCCCUAGCUGGCCUGCGAGGAUGAUCAGCAACACUGGAACUGAGACACGGUCCAGACUCCUACGGGAGGCAGCAGUGGGGAAUAUGGCACAAUGGGCGAAAGCCUGAUGCAGCCAUGCCGCGUGUGUGAAGAAGGCCUUCGGGUUGUAAAGCACUUUCAGCGGGGAGGCGUUACCCGCAGAAGAAGCAACGGCUAACUCCGUGCCAGCAGCCGCGGUAAUAC